ACGAAACCGACGACAACGACGACACAAACAGAAAAAACACCACUAUUACAAACACCAGGACAGGCCCCACACCCACACAAAUACGGACGCGACGGCACACACCAGACGGAGACCCGACGAACCCUACUACCGACACCCCCCACAUACAGAAAGCCACACAGAGACACUCACAAACACACACAA